CCGAAAAUGCGGUCCUGCAGCCCCGGGGCCGCGCAGGCGCGGUGGGGGCGCCCUCUGCAGCGAUCGCGGCUCCCUCCGCGGUUACCGGCACCGUGACGCGGCGGUGCUUGCGGAGCGGCGCCGCCUCGCCCGUCGCUUCCUCCCGAAAGUCGGUAUUCAAGAUACUCCUGUGGGAUAUAUUCAGGACUGAAUUGGUGCCCAGCAACUUCCUUGAGAUCAACAUCUUCAGCCCGCAAUCUGUGAGCAUGGACCACACCAGAUACAGCUGCUAGGAGCUCCAGAU